UGGGGAAUCUUGCGCAAUGGCCGAAAGGCUGACGCAGCGACGCCGCGUGGGGGAGGAAGGCCUUCGGGUUGUAAACCCCUGUUGCCCGGGACGAAAGCGCUCUAUUGGGGGCGUUGACGGUACCGGGUGAGGAAGCACCGGCUAACUCCGUGCCAGCAGCCGCGGUAAUACGGAGGGUGCAAGCGUUGUCCGGAAUCACUGGGCGUAAAGGGCGCGUAGGCGGCUCAUAAAGGCUGUGGUGAAAGUUCGGGGCUCAACCUCGAAUCGGCCGUGGCGACUUGUGGGCUGGAGCACUGUAGAGGCGGGUGGAAUUCCGGGUGUAGCGGUGGAAUGCGUAGAGAUCCGGAAGAACACCAGUGGCGAAGGCGGCCCGCUGGGCAGUGGCUGACGCUGAGGCGCGACAGCGUGGGGAGCAAACA
rnacentral:rRNA from 1 species